rnacentral:rRNA from 1 species
GGGCCCGCACAAGCGGUGGAGUAUGUGGUUUAAUUCGAUGCAACGCGAAGAACCUUACCAGGGUUUGACAUCCUGCGAAUCUCUUGGAAACGAGAGAGUGCCUUCGGGAGCGCAGUGACAGGUGGUGCAUGGCUGUCGUCAGCUCGUGUCGUGAGAUGUUGGGUUAAGUCCCGCAACGAGCGCAACCCACGUCUUUAGUUGCCAGCGGUUCGGCCGGGGACUCUAAGAAGACUGCCAGCGCAAGCUGAGAGGAAGGUGGGGAUGACGUCAAAUCAUCACGGCCCUUACGUCCUGGGCUACACACGUGCUACAAUGGUACAGACAGAGGGCAGCCACCUGGCGACAGGGAG